CGCCGGGGCCGCCGGCGCCGAGCGGGGAGAUCCCGGCAGCCGACGGAAGGGGAGACCCCGCUCGACACCCGGGGAUCCCCCUGCAGCAUCACAGCCCCCCUCCUCCGUUGCGGCUGGAGGAGAGGGGGGGGAGAGGAGGGCAUCCCCGGCCCCCGGCGGGGGGCUGCUUCCACCGCCGACGCAGGAAGGAGCGGAGGAUGGGGAUGAAGGAUGCCGGGAGAGGCGGCGGUUUCUGGGCUGCAAGAAAGACGGGAAGCGACAAGCUUUUUUUUUACCCUACACUCUUGGUGCCCUGGGAUUUCUGGCACAACGCACUAGAAACAACCCCUCCGAGACGUGCUCUUGAGUAAAAACCUGUCUGCAGGGCAGUGCGUUCGCAUAUCUGCCCCUUAGGAGGAACAAAGGGUCUAAAAAUAAAAUGCAAUAACAUUAAAUAAAUUAUUCAAUUAAAAUAAUAAAAUAAGAUUCAAA